rnacentral:rRNA from 1 species
UACGAAGGGGGCUAGCGUUGCUCGGAAUCACUGGGCGUAAAGGGUGCGUAGGCGGGUUUUUAAGUCAGGGGUGAAAUCCUGGAGCUCAACUCCAGAACUGCCUUUGAUACUGAAGAUCUUGAGUUCGGGAGAGGUGAGUGGAACUGCGAGUGUAGAGGUGAAAUUCGUAGAUAUUCGCAAGAACACCAGUGGCGAAGGCGGCUCACUGGCCCGAUACUGAUGCUGAGGUGCGAAAGCGUGGGGAGCAAACAGG